UCAAGCUACAAAGGGCGCAAGGAGAAUGCCUUGGCACUGGGAGCCGAUGAAAGACGUGGUAAGCUGCGAUAAGCUUCGGGGAGGAGCAAACAUCCUUUGAUCCGGAGAUUUCUGAAUGAGGAAACUCACUGGAGUUCAUACUCCAGUAUCCUGUACUGAAUCCAUAGGUACAGGAAGGGAACCGCCUGAACUGAAACAUCUAAGUAGGGCGAGGAAGAGACAUCAAACGAGAUUCCGUUAGUAGUGGCGAGCGAACGCGGAAGAGGGCAAACCGGAAGGAGAAAUCCUUCCGGGGUAUGGACCGCUUUUAGGACUUGAGUUGUUAACCGAAUGGCAUGGGAAGGCCAAUCAAAGAGGGUGAGAAUCCCGUAGGUGAAAAUGACGAGAGCUGCGCGAGUUCCAGAGUACGGCCAGACACGUGAAACCUGGUCGGAAGAUGGGGGGACCACCCUCCAACCCUAAAUACUACCCAGUGACCGAUAGCGUAUAGUACUGUGAAGGAAAGGUGAAAAGGACCCCGGGAGGGGAGUGAAAUAGAACCUGAAACCUUGUGCCUACAAGCACAUAGAGCACAUCAACGUGUGAUAUGGUACUUUUUGUAGAACGGUCCGGCGAGCGAUUGUAUGUUGCGAGCUUAAGCGCUUAAGGCGCGGAGGCGUAGCGAGAGCGAGUCUGAACAGGGCGUUCAGUAACAUGCAAUGGGCCCGAAACCGGGUGACCUACCCAUGAUCAGGCUGAAGUGAAAGUAAAAUUUCAUGGAGGGCCGAACCGACCUCCGUUGAAAAGGCGGCGGAUGAAUUGUGGGUAGCGGAGAAAUUCCAAUCGAACUCGGAGAUAGCUGGUUCUCCCCGAAAUAGCUUUAGGGCUAGCCUCAUAUUAGAUACCCGGAGGUAAAGCACUGAAUGGCCUAGCGCCCGAGAGGGUAGCGAAGCCUAUCAAACUAAGAAUGCCGGAGUAUUGAUGUAUGGGAGUCAGACAGUGUGAGAUAAAUCUCAUUGUCAAAAGGGAAACAGCCCAGAUCUACAGCUAAGGUCCCAAAUUGUAUCUAAGUGGAAAACGAUGUGGAAAUACGCAGACAACCAGGAUGUUGGCUCAGAAGCAGCCACUCAUUUAAAGAGUGCGUAAUAGCUCACUGGUCGAGCGUCUCUGCGCGGAAAAUUUAACGGGGCUAAGAUACAAACCGAAGCUUAGGCUGCAUACUUAGUAUGCGGGGUAGGGGAGCGUUGUGUAAGCGGAGAAACAGUAGCGUAAGCGGCUGUGGAGUUUACAGAAGUGAGAAUGCCGGAAUGAGUAGCGCGAAUGUGGUGAGAAUCCACAUGGCCGGAAACCUCAGGUUUUUGGAGGAAGGUUCGUCCGCUCCAAGUUAGGCGGGAGCUAAGGUGAGGCCGCAAGGCGUAGCCGAUGCACAGACGGUAGAGAUUCCGUCCCCACCGAAAGAUUUAAGCACAGGGACACUUUCAGAAGGUCGGAGCCAGGUGUUGGUUCUGGUAGUGAUCGAGGGAAAUAUAGUACCGAAGUCUGGCUGGAUGAGAGGCGAGAAAAGCUGUGUGUAUAUCUAAGGUGCCCGUACCGCAAACCGACACAGGUAGGUAGGAAGAAGAUUCUAAGGCCAACGGGAGAAGGGUUGUUAAGGAACUCGGCAAAUUGACCCCGUAACUUCGGGAGAAGGGGUGCUCCAGAGAUGGAGCCGCAGAGAAUCGGCCCAAGCAACUGUUUACCAAAAACACAGGUUUGUGCUAAAUCGAAAGAUGACGUAUACGAGCUGACGCCUGCCCGGUGCUGGAAGGUUAAGAGGAGAUGUGCAAGCAUUGAAUCGAAGCCCCAGUGAACGGCGGCCGUAACUAUAACGGUCCUAAGGUAGCGAAAUUCCUUGUCAGGUAAGUUCUGACCCGC
rnacentral:rRNA from 1 species